AAUGCAAGUCGAGCGGAAUGAUGAAGAAGCUUGCUUCUUCUGAUUUUAGCGGCGACGGGUGAGUAACACGUGGGCAACCUACCUUGUAGAUUGGGAUAACUCCGGGAAACCGGGGCUAAUACCGAAUAAUCCAUUUUGCUUCAUGCGAGAUGUUNUAAAGACGGUUUCGGCUGUCACUAUAAGAUGGGCCCGCGGCGCAUUAGCUAGUUGGUAGGGUAAUGGCCUACCAAGGCGACGAUGCGUAGCCGACCUGAGAGGGUGAUCGGCCACACUGGGACUGAGACACGGCCCAGACUCCUACGGGAGGCAGCAGUAGGGAAUCUUCCACAAUGGACGAAAGUCUGAUGGAGCAACGCCGCGUGAGUGAAGAAGGUUUUUCGGAUCGUAAAACUCUGUUGUAAGGGAAGAACACGUACGAGAGUAACUGCUCGUACCUUGACGGUACCUUAUUAGAAAGCCACGGCUAACUACGUG
rnacentral:rRNA from 1 species